rnacentral:lncRNA from 1 species
UUCCAUAGGAUUUUGUUCUUGCUUUAACCCCUGAGACUCAGCUGUUCUAUUGGUCUGAGGCGGUGGUAGAUUACUCAGCUGUUCUAGUGGUCUGAAGCAGGUGGUAGAUACUCAGCUGUUCAGUGGUGUGAGACAGGUGUUAGAUUACUCAGCUGUUCUAGUGGUCUGAGGCAGGUGUUAGAUUACUCAGCUGUUCUAGUGGUCUGAGGCAGGUGUUAGAUUACUCAGCUGUUCUAGUGGUCUGAGACAGGUGUUAGAUUACUCAGCAGUUCUAGUGGUCUGAGGCAGGUGGUAGAUUACUCAGCAGUUCUAGUGGUCUGAGGCAGGGUGGUAGAUUACUCAGCAGUUCUAGUGGUCGAGACAGGUGGUAGAUUACCACAGUUCUAGUGGUCUGAGACAGGUGUUAGAUGAGGGUUUUCAACGUUAAUAG